AUUGAACGCUGGCGGAAUGCUUUACACAUGCAAGUCGAGCGGCAGCGCGGCCCUUGGGCUGGCGGCGAGCGGCGAACGGGUGAGUAAUGCAUCGGAACAUGCCCAGUCGUGGGGGAUAACACCUCGAAAGAAGUGCUAAUACCGCAUACGUCCUGAGGGGGAAAGCGGGGGAUCGCAAGACCUCGCGCGAUUGGAGUGGCCGAUGUCAGAUUAGCUAGUUGGUGGGGUAAAGGCCUACCAAGGCGACGAUCUGUAGCUGGUCUGAGAGGAUGAUCAGCCACACUGGGACUGAGACACGGCCCAGACUCCUACGGGAGGCAGCAGUGGGGAAUUUUGGACAAUGGGGGCAACCCUGAUCCAGCCAUUCCGCGUGAGUGAAGAAGGCCUUCGGGUUGUAAAGCUCUUUCGGCGGGAACGAAACGGUGGGCUCUAACAUAGUCCGCUAAUGACGGUACCUGAAGAAGAAGCACCGGCUAACUACGUG
rnacentral:rRNA from 1 species